rnacentral:lncRNA from 1 species
GUUUAGCUUCCACUUACAAGUGAGAACAUGCAGUUCUUGGCUUUCAGUUUUUCUGAGCCAUUUCACUUAGGAUAAUGUUAGCAGUUCACUGGGGUAGCUGUUGCUGAAACAGGGUCCUGAAUGCUGGAGCCACAGGACCAACUGAUUUGGAUAAAAGAGGAGAGAGAAGCAGCAGAUCCUGAAGUAGCUGAGGGGCUGCAGGGAAAAACCCUGCGACACCAGGGGGCUGCCUGCCACUAAAGGGAGCCCUAUGGCAAAGAGGAAAACAGGGGGCCCUGGAUGUGAGGGCCAGGCCUGGCAGGACGCAGCGUGGGACGCAGAGGCAGACGGACAGAACGCGAGCAGCUUUAUGAAAGGCCGCCGUGUGCCGCACUUACUCUCCAGUGGGGCAGGAACCAGGCCUGGAGGCGACAGGGCCCGAAAUAACAGGCGAAACACAGCCAGGAACUGAGCUUAGCUACAGCAGGGGACAGACGUCCUCAGGACACUACUACCACUGCCAUCCCCACGAGGUCCCUGAGGCUCAGGACUGGACGCCAGAAGCGGCCUCGCAGAGGACAGGGGUCUCCAGCAUGCACUGGCUGGAAGCCCGGAUCCCCACCCACGGCUGCGGCCUGUUGCUCCUCACAUCAGCAUCUUAACUUUUUGAGUUUUGCACAUUUCACCUGCAUGGCAGCAGAGAAUUCCGGCAGAAUCAGGCCUCUGGAUGUUCCAGGGAUGUGUCCUGGUUCCCUGGCUGUUAUUACAAAGCAGCAGUUCAGAUCCAUGGAACUUCUCGACUGUUCUGCCUCUCGGUGACUUGAUCCAUCAACUGAAUAGUACAGCGUCUGAUCAGAUUUUAGAGAGGGUGUGUGAAGUCACUGCGAAGCUUGUGAAAAUGGAGAU